rnacentral:tRNA from 1 species
GGGGAUAUAGCUCAGAAACAUAGUGCAUGCCUAGCAAGUAUGAGGUCAUAAGUUCAAUUCCUAAUACCCCCC